rnacentral:rRNA from 1 species
UACGGGGGGGGCAAGCGUUGUUCGGAAUUACUGGGCGUAAAGGGUUUGUAGGUGGCCGGCUAAGUCAGACGUGAAAUCCCUCAGCUUAACUGGGGAACUGCGUCUGAUACUGGAUGGCUCGAGUGUGGGAGAGGAAUGCGGAAUUCCAGGUGUAGCGGUGAAAUGCGUAGAUAUCUGGAGGAACACCGGUGGCGAAGGCGGCAUUCUGGACCAUAACUGACACUGAGAGACGAAAGCCAGGGGAGCAAACAGG